UACGAAGGGGGCUAGCGUUGCUCGGAAUUACUGGGCGUAAAGGGCGCGUAGGCGGACAGUUUAGUCAGAGGUGAAAGCCCAGGGCUCAACCUUGGAAUUGCCUUUGAUACUGGCUGUCUUGAGUUCGGGAGAGGUGAGUGGAAUGCCGGGUGUAGAGGUGAAAUUCGUAGAUAUUCGGCGGAACACCAGUGGCGAAGGCGACUCACUGGCCCGAUACUGACGCUGAGGCGCGAAAGCGUGGGGAGCAAACAGG
rnacentral:rRNA from 1 species